GGAUGGUAUGUUGCAGCCAGUAAUUCUCUUGAUAUAGGCUCUGGUUGGCACUACCUGAUCUUGGAUUGCAACAAGCCUUCCCUCGGUUUCAGGGUGAAGGUAUCCUGCUUUCAGGUAAGUUAUCGACUCAUUUUUUAUAAUAUUAUCCGAUUUCAAAUUUCCAGGGUAUCUGCCAUGUAGUGCCUUGCUGUGCCACUCUGCCGUGAGCUGUUCGAGUGACUGUUCCUUGAGGUUAACCGAGGGUUUUGCCAGCUGCAGGGCCGAGUACUCAUCUGCUUGGCAAACGGACUUAAAGAACGGCUAUCAUUCAGGGUUUCGAGUUUCAACCGGAAAUCAGCUGCCCUAAGAUCUAUCCGGGCCUCAGAUGCAAUCCAGUGGACCCUUUUAUGGACUUUAUUGGAAACUACCUCGGUGUUCAGGCGGGCUUUCCAUGGAGGCUGCUCUCUCUUUGGUCUUCUAUGUGGCUGCGUUAUCGUUAUACACUUCCCCAUCUCCUCACACACCGUGACUGCUCCCGUGUAUACCAGAUCUACCACAUCUCUCAGUGUUGUUGUGCUUGAGAUGUUAUACUUUAUAAUUUCAUCUACCACCUUCACCUUCUCCAACAUAAUGCGCGAUCCCUUCAUCCUAGGGAUUUUUGGCCUCAUUUCAGGAUUUAUACCCGUAUAUAAUAAGGCAUUUCGUUUGAAGGCUUGCUUUAUUUUAAUGGUCAGUUGGUCACCUUGGUCUUCUUCCUGUUGCUCUACGUAUAGUUCCUCCUGUUGUUGGAGCUCUUGUUCCUGAUCUUCGGCUGGUGGUGCUGUAUGAGGCCACAUGCUUUGUUCAAUCGCUGCUAGUUCGACACUUGAGAGCUUUUCACCUUCGAGCAGAUAUCUCACUCGAUUAGCUAGCAGGUUAGUGUAGAGUUGUUUGUCUGGUUUGAUGUUAUUCCAGGUUUCAGUCAGGAGUUGUCUGUACGUUCUUUCUGACGCUUGCUCUAGGGCUUUUGCUAUGAAAUGAGCGCGAAUAAUUAGGACGUUUUCGUCUUCGGUCCAUCGUGCUCUUCCGUCUCGU